GGCCUGUUAGCAAACUCUAGUCUUCUCUUUCCUAGAUCCAUCAUGUAACUAUAAGGCAAUUCAGAGGCUGGGAAAUACCUGCAUAAUGGCUGACUGCCUGAAACUUUAUAGCUGCAUACAAAAUCACUUGGGAGACAAUAAAACGCACUGGCAUAACAGAAGGAGAUGGAAGAAGAGGGUGGCUGCUCAACUUGCUCUUUCUUCUUGCAAAAGUAUUUAGCUCAACUGAUGCCCAGGAUAUUCAGAAUCAUGGAAGUCUAAUUUUGAAGUAGCUCUGAUACAGCCAUAUUUCUUAGGAGGAGGCUGAAGGCUCCCAGAAUGAAUGUCCCAAGAGAAAUUGGUUGAAACUGCAUGGCUUUUUCAACCCAUCCUUGGAAGUCACACAGCAUUUCUCACAAUAUUCUAUUCCUUGAGACAAUUACAAAGAUCAGUCUGUUCAAAGAGAGGGGGAAAUUGAUUCCAUCUUGCAACCAAGGAUGAAUCAAAGAAUGUAAAAACAUGUUUGAAAACCACCACAUCAUGUGUGCAAACUAUUGUCUAAUUUUCUUUCUUCUCUUUCUACAGAAAGAAUCCAUUUUUAUUUAAUAAUGACUAAUUUAUGAGGUACUGAAAACCAAUACCUCACUGUAUUUCAUCAGUUAUGAUUACCACAGAUAACUGAAAGCACUUUUUGGUCUGUGGACCAAUAUUUCCACAAAACAAUAGGAAAAAAUUUAAAGUCAACAAAAAUGUGACCUCAGUUAACUGAUAUAAUCAGUAAGUAGGAAAAUUGAUUUCUAGUGUUUGUUCAGUAAAUAUUUGUUCAGCACCUAGUACAUGCUCACUGAUCAAAUGAAUGAAACUAUCAAAGAAAAACAAGAACAGUAGAAGUACACCUAAAACAACAGUGGUUUUUUUUUUCCUAGGAAAACAACUAA